rnacentral:lncRNA from 1 species
CCUGUAGCAGAGCAGCCCGUCAACCGUCCACUGUAACUUGCAAUUUAAUUCCCAAAAAUCAAAACCUUCAAAUUUCAAGUUGUAUUAGAUGGAAGAAGAAGAUGUAAGUUUAAAUUUUAUGAUUUUGUUUGUAAAUUUCAGUUUUUUGUCAAAGUAUGCGUAAAAUAUAUAUCUCUAGAUUGGUAAUUUUUGAAAGAAUUUUACCUGAAUUUCAAC